rnacentral:rRNA from 1 species
GACGAACGCUGGCGGCGUGCUUAACACAUGCAAGUCGAACGGAAAGGCCCUGCUUUUGUGGGGUGCUCGAGUGGCGAACGGGUGAGUAACACGUGAGUAACCUGCCCUUGACUUUGGGAUAACUUCAGGAAACUGGGGCUAAUACCGGAUAGGAGCUCCCGCUGCAUGGUGGGGGUUGGAAAGUUUCGGCGGUUGGGGAUGGACUCGCGGCUUAUCAGCUUGUUGGUUGGGUAGUGGCUUACCAAGGCUUUGACGGGUGGCCGGCCUGAGAGGGUGAGCGGACAAAUCGCGCUUGGGAUACGGCACAGACCCGACUGCGAGGCAACAGUGCGGAAUAUUGCACAAUAGGCGGAGCCCUGGUGUAACAAAGCAACGUGGGGGAUGACAGGCAGCCGGUUGUAAACCGCUGCCCCCUUUGACGAAGCGUGAGUGACGGUAACGGGUAAAGAAGCACCGGCUAACUACGUG